rnacentral:rRNA from 1 species
GAAUAUUGGACAAUGGGGGCAACCCUGAUCCAGCCAUGCCGCGUGUGUGAAGAAGGCCUUUUGGUUGUAAAGCACUUUAAGCAGUGAAGAAGACUCCAUGGUUAAUACCCAUGGACGAUGACCUUAGCUGCCGAAUAAGGCCCCGCUAACUCUUUGCCAGCAGCCGCGGUAAUACAGAGGGUGCAAGCGUUAAUCGGAAUUACUGGGCGUAAAGCGAGCGUAGGUGGCUUGAUAAGUCAGAUGUGAAAUCCCCGGGCUUAACCUGGGAACUGCAUCUGAUGCUGUUAGGCUAGAAUAGGUGAGAGGAAGGUAGAAUUCCAGGUGUAGCGGUGAAAUGCGUAGAGAUCUGGUGGAAUACCGAUGGCGAAGGCAGCCUUCUGGCAUCAUAUUGACACUGAGGUUCGAAAGCGUGGGUAGCAAAC